rnacentral:tRNA from 1 species
GUUUCCGUAGUGUAGCGGUUAUCACGUCUGCUUCACACGCAGAAGGGCCCCGGUUCGAUCCCGGGCGGGAACA